CCUACGGGAGGCUGCAGUGAGGAAUAUUGGUCAAUGGACGAGAGUCUGAACCAGCCAAGUAGCGUGAAGGAUGACUGCCCUAUGGGUUGUAAACUUCUUUUAUAAAGGAAUAAAACGAGGCACGUGUGCCUUUUUGCAUGUACUUUAUGAAUAAGGAUCGGCUAACUCCGUGCCAGCAGCCGCGGUAAUACGGAGGAUCCGAGCGUUAUCCGGAUUUAUUGGGUUUAAAGGGAGCGUAGAUGGGUUGUUAAGUCAGUUGUGAAAGUUUGCGGCUCAACCGUAAAAUUGCAAUUGAUACUGGCAGUCGUGAGUACAGUUGAGGUAGGCGGAAUUCGUGGUGUAGCGGUGAAAUGCUUAGAUAUCACGAAGAACCCCGAUUGCGAAGGCAGCUUACUAAACUGUGACUGACAUUGAUGCUCGAAAGUGUGGGUAUCAAACAGGAUGAGAUACCCGAGUAGUC
rnacentral:rRNA from 1 species